rnacentral:rRNA from 1 species
CAGUCGUACUUGCGGAUAACCAACCUUUAGAUGCGAUUUUGUGGAGCGUCAAGAGUUAAACGCCUUCAUGCCUGCAUAUUCGUAUACUUUGGGUGUACUUAUUCGUGUGGUAAGUUAACAUCAAUUUUGGUGAUCAUAAAAUGAUUAGAGGAAUGUAGCUUCGAUCUUGUAUUGAAGUGUUAUAGCCUCUGGUAAUGUGGUGAACGAAACUGAGGAUUGCAACGAAUACCCUUCGGGCUAUCCGUCUGACCUCUGAAGUUGCUUGGGUGCCGAAGCUUGCUUACGGUCAUUCAUGAU